rnacentral:lncRNA from 1 species
CACCUCAUUGCUGUUGGUGUACUUUCCAAAGCUGUGUUGAGCUCCGGCAUGGGAGAAAACAGUUUCGAGUAUCUUGCCUUUCGUGGAUCCCUCAUUAAUGAUUGCCUGCCGAUUGCAUUUCCAUUUUGAUGUCGUGAUAGAGAGGUGUGGAGUGGUGUUGUCAUGUGUGAGCUUGUUUCUGGGCGGAGGGUAGCAAUGGAUACCCGUCUCUUUGGCUGAAUAGCUUGUGUUGUUGAAGGAGUAGGUCUGACGGCAAUUGACAUCCGUCUUGGAAUCAUAAGCAUUUUAGCAUUUGUUGGGGCUGUCAUUGUGGUUCUCUGAGUGUUUUCUUUUCCCUCGGAUGCUGCCAUUGUGGUUCUCAUAGUGUUUUUUUUCUGAGGAGGGCGAGGAGAUUGUGGAGGCACGAAGUUACUGAUUCUUCGUAAUGGCAUCCUCAUUUUUGAAGGAGCCAAUGGUGGCUUUUUCUCUGUCUUGGUCUUUACUGCAACUUGUUUAAGAGUUGACCGAGUAGAUGUAGCAGCAAAAGCUCUCGUUUCCUGCUUUAUUCUUGUUUUCCUUUCCUCAGCUAAUUGAUUUUCCAGGUCCUUGACCUGUUAUAAAGAUUCAGUCUGGUUAGCAAAGUGAACAAAAACAAUAAAUAACACUAAAUCCCUACGAUGCCUGCAUGGUAGAACAGACUUUCUGCAUUUUCAUACUCUUAAAAGGAAGCUAUAAUCAUUUAAGAAGAGAAGAACUCAAUGAACACACUAAAUUAAGGAUAUGAUAGGAAGUUUUAAACUAGACCAUCAUAUUUAAUUACCUUUUCUUGAAGGGCUCUGCAGAUAUGUUCUCUGGCAGCGAGCCUUAAUUGUACAGACUGCAAAUUGUCCUGCUGUACGGCCAAGGCGGAUGUACGGUACAGCAGUGUUUCUAAAAGUCAAAAUAGAGAUAUUGCACUUCAACUUUUGUAACGGAUCUUUUUGUUCCAACGGUCCAAUCUAUCCUGUACGAGUAUUAGCUAUUAAGAACGUAUGCAAACGGCUACUUUUUUGUUUUUAAAUUCUUUCUUUGUAGCAUUAUUGUAUUUAUAACUUUGUUAUAUCUUUUCAAAAAAAAAAAAAAACUUUGUUAUAUUAAUUUCUCUAUUUCUUCUUGAAAGUGAGAGAAUUAUUGCUUAGCCGUUGAUCAUAAUGAAUCAAACGGUCGAGGGACUUUUUGAAUUUUGACUUUACGAAGGGUAGUGAUUGCAUGGUUGAAGCACAGUAUGAGCUUGCAUCGAGAUCCACGUGUUAUUAUCCAAACGUGAUAUAUUUUAGAAAAUCACUUUGUAGCUAUUUGCAACGAUUACUCUUCAUAAAAUUUUCAUUACCAAGACUCUUGAAUGGAGAGAAAAAGAAAUGGAACUCCAACACAGUGAAAAAUAACUGAUUUUUAGUAAGUAAGAAGCAUACACUUGAAAAGCAUUCUAGAUAGAGUUCUAUAACAAAAACAAUCACAGAACAACGAGAAGAAAUAUACUCUGUUAUUGUAUUGAUAACAAAGACUGUUAAAAAUUUGUUUUAGUUUUUAUUUUUUCAUUCGUCGCAUCUCAAUUGAAGGUUUGAGAAGGCAAUAAUGAUCUCCUGUAGUUCCUCAUGCCUCUCGCCUUCAAAGGACUCCACACAAGUGUUUUCCUUUGCAGUGCAACAACAGUUGGAUGCUUGGGCUUCCAAGAACCCGGUGCCUGCGUAGGGGGACUUCCCAUGAACUUACUACUGCACCUCAUUGCUGUUGGUGUACUUUCCAAAGCUGUGUUGAGCUCCGGCAUGGGAGAAAACAGUUUCGAGUAUCUUGCCUUUCGUGGAUCCCUCAUUAAUGAUUGCCUGCCGAUUGCAUUUCCAUUUUGAUGUCGUGAUAGAGAGGUGUGGAGUGGUGUUGUCAUGUGUGAGCUUGUUUCUGGGCGGAGGGUAGCAAUGGAUACCCGUCUCUUUGGCUGAAUAGCUUGUGUUGUUGAAGGAGUAGGUCUGACGGCAAUUGACAUCCGUCUUGGAAUCAUAAGCAUUUUAGCAUUUGUUGGGGCUGUCAUUGUGGUUCUCUGAGUGUUUUCUUUUCCCUCGGAUGCUGCCAUUGUGGUUCUCAUAGUGUUUUUUUUCUGAGGAGGGC